ACAUUGCUCUAAUAAUUUAAAAAGCCGAACUGAAAACGUUGAAUAACUUCUGCUGUACUUAAAUUCUUUGCUAUUUUGAAGUAAGUUUGUACAAAGAAAAAUCCUAGCAAUUACAGUAAAAUUACAACAUUAAUUCUAUUUUUAAUAAAUGAAUGAAUAGCAAUUGUGGUUGGGUUUCAGUGCUACACUCUCCUAAUGGACUUAUGGAGACACAAAAAGGAAUCUGAGAGUGAUUGUGUCUCUUUUAAUGAGUGAUGAAUGACCAUCUUUUUACUUCUACUCAUUCCAAUGUGCUUAGGGGCCUCCUGGACCACCAGGCCCUCCAGGUCCCCCAGGGGCCCAAGGGUUUACAGGAAUCCAAGGCCCACAGCCUCCUGUUUUGCUGCCUCAGGAUUCAGCUUCCACGGGCAAGGAGGGCUGUGGCGAAUGCUCCAAGGGCCUACCAGGUGUGCCCGGCGUGGUUGGUGCUAAGGGCGAGAAGGGAGAUCAGGGCAAGCCUGGCGUUGAACACUUAGAUAGAUGCGAACGGUGUUUAGAGAAGCUGCAGAGAGAAGAAACACCAAGUAGGCCUACGAGUAACAGUGGUCAGUGUGUUGGUGCACCAGGGAUGCCCGGAUUCCCAGGGACCGCAGGGGUCAAAGGAGAGCCGGGUCCUAGAGGUGAGCGAGGACCUCCUGGUCUUCCUGGAACCCCAGGCAAUAUUGGUUUCCCUGGUCCUCAAGGGCCUCCUGGACUGCCUGUAAGUCAAUGCAUGCAAACUUAUGAUCAGCUCAGACGAACACAGAAGAUGUUUAAUUACCUCAGAAAACCAGCCCAUCUUCUCUGAAUGCCAUGACAGAGAAAUAAAACU
rnacentral:lncRNA from 1 species